AGUGAACGCUGGCGGUAGGCCUAACACAUGCAAGUCGAACGGCAGCACAGUAAGAGCUUGCUCUUACGGGUGGCGAGUGGCGGACGGGUGAGGAAUACAUCGGAAUCUACUUUUUCGUGGGGGAUAACGUAGGGAAACUUACGCUAAUACCGCAUACGACCUACGGGUGAAAGCAGUGGAUCUUCGGACCUUGCGCGAUUGAAUGAGCCGAUGUCGGAUUAGCUAGUUGGCGGGGUAAAGGCCCACCAAGGCGACGAUCAGUAGCUGGUCUGAGAGGAUGAUAAGACACACUGGAACUGAGACACGGGCCAGACUCCUACGGGAGGCAGCAGUGGGGAAUAUUGGACAAUGGGCGCAAGCCUGAUCCAGCCAUACCGCGUGGGUGAAGAAGGCCUUCGGGUUGUAAAGCCCUUUUGUUGGGAAAGAAAAGCAGCAGGUUAAUACCCCGAUGUUCUGACGGUACCCAAAGAAUAAGCACCGGCUAACUUCGUG
rnacentral:rRNA from 1 species